CAGCUGAAGAGGAAGACAUCAUAUAUAAUGUGCAUGAAAAAAACACCACUUCAUGCAUGACAGCUCAGAGGUCACUUUAAAAUAUCACAGGAUGUUCUGGGUUCUGCGGGAUCAGAUGGAGCAGCAGGUGCAGGUGUGGUCAGAUGCUUCUGGACGGGAACAUAAUCCUGUAGCUUCCUCACAGCUUUACUGCAGAAAUCUGCUGCUUCUUCACGACUGCUGCCAUCAAACUGCAGUCGGAUCAGACGGCUCUCUCCCUUACAGAUUCACAGAACAACGAAAAAUGAAAGACGAGGAGGCGGGGAAAUGCCUUUAGGACAGCACGAGCACAUGAGGAUCCUCCUGUGUCUGACGCCUGGAAGCUCUGGGCAUUAAGCAGAGAAAAGCCCUCCUACAAACAGAAGAAAACAGGAGCACACAUCAUCAUUAUCCAGCAGAGACUGAUUUAAUAGGAUUAUAUCAGGCUGAAAACACAUCAUAUAAGCAGAACAGCAUGAACCUGCCAUCAGCAGCCUCCUCCAGGGUUUCCAUUAGAACAUAACAGAGAAUGGUUCUGUAGUUUCUGCCAAAACCAUGAAUUGAGCGAUCAAUUAAUGUUUUACACAUCUACAUUUUAAUCUUCUAGAGAAAAUGUUUUUUUAUUAAUGCAAAAGCUACAAUGCAAAUGCAGGAAUGCUAUGCAUGUGAAGUGUGCUUGUGUAUAUACAGUUGAGGUCAGAAUUAUUCACCCCCUUUUAAUUUUGAUUUUCUUUUUUAAA
rnacentral:lncRNA from 1 species